rnacentral:rRNA from 11 species
UUUAGGGGCUUAAAUACCCUAAAGGCACCAGAUCCCAUCUGAUCCUGGAAGAUAAGCAGGGUCAGUUCUGGUUAGUACUUUGAAGGGAGACAACCAAUGGACACUGUGUUGUCGGCUAUAU